GUCAACUACCCCGCCCUGAAGGGCGGAGCUUGAAAGAGCUUGGUUGACCAGCCUAAGUUCGCCUGACCAGGAGGUCGAAAGGGGCUACGUGUGUCACAGGUCGUUCAGACUCACCGGCGGAUGCUUCCUCAGUCAGCCGCUCUGAA
rnacentral:sRNA from 15 species